rnacentral:tRNA from 1 species
GCGUACGUAGCUCAGCGGAUAGAGCAGCACCUUUUAAGGUGAAGGCCAUGGGUUCGAAUCUCAUCGUACGCU